GGGGGUGUUUCAGAUUCGAUUGUGCGAGUGAGUUAAAGCGCAAGCAUACCGAAGGCUCGGCUUCGUAAAAACGGAACUUUAAAUUUAAAUGCUGAUAAUCAAAAAUUAGCAUACGCAGCGUAAUUAGCGCGUACGUUUCUUCGCACCUUUCCCGUCGGGAGCGGAAGAAGCGUCAACAAGGCGGGGAACGGCUUAGACUGUUUUGACAGCGGCAAUUUAAGCGGAAAUCAGUUGUCAGGGGAAAAUCAAAGCCCGCCGACGGGCGUGGUUUUUCCGAGAUAAAACGUCGGAUAAGUAUGUAGAAAACUUUAACGAAGCGUGCAAGACCGGAGUGCAAGUCUCCGCAUCUCCACCA
rnacentral:tmRNA from 1 species